GUUCUCAGUUCGGAUCGGAGUCUGCAACCCGACUCCGUGAAGCUGGAUUCGCUAGUAAUCGCGCAUCAGCCAUGGCGCGGUGAAUACGUUCCCGGGCCUUGUACACACCGCCCGUCAAGCCAUGGGAGCCGGGGGUGCUUGAAGUGCGUCGCCGCAAGGCGCGCCCUAGAGCAAAACCGGUGACUGGGGCUAAGUCGUAACAAGGUAAC
rnacentral:rRNA from 1 species